rnacentral:vault_RNA from 12 species
GCACUGGUUUAGCUCAGCGGUUACUUCAACUCAACUCUUUUGAAGAUUACACUUUUACCCUUUCUGGGUUUGAAACCACGGCCGCUGUUCAGUGCAUUU